AAAAACAUCAGAUUAGGAGGUUAAGAUAACAACAAUAGGAUAUGAUAGAAAGUCAAAGAGAAAGGGAAAUUCAUCAAGUUUGUAACAAGUUUUAGUAUACUUCCAUUCUUUGAGGAACAGGUGUUUUGAUGACCUGCAAGAUUUGAACCACUUCAGCCAUUGAAGGCCUACUUGAUGGUAUUUGAGAAGUGCACACCAAUGCCAACUUCAGAACAGGCAAAACUUCCUCUUCAGGAUAAGUAUUCAUAGUUGGAUCAACACACUCCAACACAUUGCCUUGCUCAAGCAAAACUCUCACAUGAUCAUUGAGUAUCAACACAUUGUCCUCUCCAUACUCAACUGGCCUUCUCCCAGUGACAAUUUCAAGAAUCAACAUCCCAAAACCAUAAACGUCACACUUCUCAUUCACCCUUAAGCUCUGGCAUGCCAAUUCAGGGGCUACAUAGCCUAGUGCACUCUGGAACCUGCUGCUUAUCAUGUGCUUAUCGAGCUUUGUCACUAGCCUUGCCAGCCCGAAAUCAGAUAUUCUCGGGUUGAAGUUCUCAUCAAGGAGAAUGUUGCUAGGCUUUAUGUUGUAGUGUAUGAUUGCUGGCCUAAACGCGUGGUGCAAAUGUGCUAGUCCCUUGGCUGUUCCAAGCACAAUGUUGAAUCGAGUGGACCAAGACAGGGGAAGGGAAGUUGAAGACGAAGGCCUUUCGUGCAGUAUGGCUUGUAAACUUCCUUCUGGUGCAUAAUCUGAUACUAGAAGCUGAAGUUGAGGAGUCCAGUAAUACCCUUUUAAGGAUAUUAGAUUUGGAUGCCUUGCUUUUGCUAAAACUCUAACUUCUCUAUCGAAGUCCUCAGGAUAUUGGAGGAUUUUUGAUGUUACAAGCUUCUUGACAGCUACUAUUCUUCCUUCCCCUCCCAAUGGGGCUUUGUAAACAGUCCCAAAGACACCUUCACCGAUUUGAGAUGCCUUGUCUAGGAUUGAUUCAAGACUGCUAUUAGUCCAAUCCGGGGAAGAUUUGGUGUCCAAUAACACAAGUUUUCCAGUGGCUAGGGUCCCUGAUUUAGAAGAACUUGAGCACAUACUCUCCAAGGCGUUGUCAACGAACGUGAUCCUCCUUCGAACAGAAGCAUUGAGUAAGGUUAUUAUCAUUACUCCAACCGCGAUCACAGCUGCAGCAGAGAUUGCAACAAUGGAUGAAACACUGAGGAAUCUAUGGUUCUUGAAACUUUUGUUAUUGCUUCUUGAAGCUCCAUCAUCCCCGUUUUGACCUCCCCGGCUCUGGUUUCCAUAAGCAUAAGGAUCAAGAACCAAAGGCUUUGGCACAUUCAUCUUACAAGGACCUUUCAACAAGGGUGAACAAAUGCCCAAAUUCCCUUCCAAUGAACUCUGGUCUAAAUUCUGGAAUAUACUACUCAUUGGAAGGCGUCCCACGAGCCUGUUGUAGGAUAUAUUAACAGCCAGAAGAUUUUCUAACUUGCCAAGUUCUUGUGGUAUUUCACCACUCAAUUGGUUAUACUCUAGCUUCAAAAUCUUGAGCUUCUUCAACAUUGAAAGGGACCUUGGUAUUGAGCCACUUAAAUUAUUAUGUGACAAACUCAACAAGUAGAGGGAUGAACAAUUUCCAAUCUCAUCAGGAAUAGGUCCAGUGAAUGAAUUUCCAUCAAGCUGAAGAAUUCCCAAGCUACCAGAAUCACAUAUAUCACCAGGAAUUGAUCCAACUAAAGCACUGUGUCGAAGAUCCAACACCGUUAGAUUCUGAAAGUAUCCAACCUCAGGAGGCAAUCUUGAUUGAAAAUUGUUCCAAGAAAGAUUCAAGUAUCUCAGCUUGGAGAAGAGUCCCACUUCAGCUGGGAUAUUCCCAGUAAGAUUGUUUCCUGAUAGAUCAAGAACUUGAAGUGAUUCAAAGAAUUUACCAGAACCAGGAGGGAUUGAACCAGUUAACUCAUUUCUUGAGAAAUCUGCUUCUUCCAAUCCUAUACCAAACAAUCCUUCAGGAAUGCUACCA
rnacentral:misc_RNA from 1 species